rnacentral:tRNA from 1 species
AAUUAAUUAAUGCCGGGUUAAUUAAUUAAUGCCUCAAGGGAAUAUGGUAUCCCUUGAGGCAUUAAUAUUAACA